rnacentral:miRNA from 4 species
UCUUUGGUUGUACAAAGUGGUAUG